rnacentral:rRNA from 1 species
CACGUAGGGGGCAAGCGUUGUCCGGAUUUAUUGGGUGUAAAGAGCUCGUAGGUGGUUCGGUAAGUCGGGUGUUAAACCCCCAGGCUCAACCUGGGGACGCCACUCGAUACUGCUGUGACUAGAGUCCGGUAGGGGAGCGUGGAAUUCCUGGUGUAGCGGUGAAAUGCGCAGAUAUCAGGAGGAACACCAGCGGCGAAGGCGGCGCUCUGGGCCGGUACUGACACUGAGGAGCGAAAGCGUGGGUAGCAAACAGG